CAGGACUCCUAUCCGUCUCCAUUUCCAAGCGGGUGAAAGGGCCUUCUGGAACAGAGUCACCUCUACUCGUGAUCAGAGGGAACUACACAAAUGCAUGACUGCCAACCACAAACCGAGGACCUUGGAGCAUCACCUUGAAGUCUAGGAAUCUAGGGAAAAGUUUGUAAGACAAUCAUAUUAGAAAUCUGGUGUGGAGGUGGAGAUAGGGUCUCCGGCACUGCUGUUCGGCGUGAAUUAUGAAUUUUCAGCAUACACAAUGGAAGGCGUCCCCGAGGAAGGGACGUGAACAUCGAGAGGAUCGAAAGGUGUGGAUGUUGUCCAGAUGGGAGUGGAAGGAGGUGUGGUCGUGAUGGGCUUGUUCCGGAGAGAAAGGGGCCUGUGAAGAGGCCCAGAGCUUGGAGCUGUCGUGACGAUAUAGAGGAGCUCAAGAGAGUUCACUGUGGCUGGAAGGUGGAGUCUUGAGGCUGAGGAGACGGAGGAGGGAACACGGAGGCUGAGUCAUCAGGGCCUUGCCUGAGCCUUAAGAAGCCGAGAUGUCGCCCUGAGGACCACAGUACCCAGGAGCAUCUGCAGCUAUUUAUUUGUUCAUUCAUUGGCUGUCUGGGCCUCCUUCACCCGAUACAUGUAAGCUCUAUGAAGACAAGGAACUUCUUGAUCUGGUGAACAUUUGGUUCUGCUGUGGAUUAGCCGAAUCAAAAGAUGAAAAGGUGCCUGUGCAGGCGGGAGCAUCAUUUUCUAACGCACAUGCGGGCGCCCGCCCGGGAGCUGCAGCCCUGACAUCACAUGGGAAAUACCGGCGUCCAGCCUGGAGCUGGGGUGAAAGAACGAGGGGAUCCAUCCAUCUUUAAGCAAGAGAUCACAGCCUCGGGGAGUGGAUGGCUUCAGAAAGAAGGGUCAGAGGAAUUUCAUGAAAGGCGCUCCAGCUGUGCUGCCUCUGCUGUGCGUCGGUCGCCGCAGCCUUAGCCAGUGACAGCAACAGCGGCGGCAGCGGAUUAAAGGAUGGUUCCCCAGCGGAAAACCUCCAGAACAUCCUUCACUUCUGGCAUUUAACUUCUGAUGGUGCCCAGCAGGAAAUCCUUGUUUCCAUGUUCCCACCUGCCAUGGAACAGCUGAUUCCUGAUCCAAGGCGUCUAGCAAGACCUUGCUGUCCAACUAGAUUACGUCUUUGUCACGCCGGUGGAAGUGGACGCGGGCGGGUCGUAUAUUUCACACGACAUUUCGCACAGCGGCAGGAGAAAGCGGUCCGCUCAGAGUGCC